rnacentral:rRNA from 1 species
AUUGAACGCUGGCGGCAUGCUUUACACAUGCAAGUCGAACGGUAACAGGCCUUCGGGUGCUGACGAGUGGCGAACGGGUGAGUAAUGCAUCGGAACGUACCCAGAGGUGGGGGAUAACGCAGCGAAAGCUGUGCUAAUACCGCAUGUGAUCUGAGGAUGAAAGCGGGGGACCGAGCAGCAAUGUUUGGCCUCGCGCCUUUGGAGCGGCCGAUGUCGGAUUAGCUAGUUGGUGGGGUAAAGGCCUACCAAGGCGACGAUCCGUAGCUGGUCUGAGAGGACGACCAGCCACACUGGGACUGAGACACGGCCCAGACUCCUACGGGAGGCAGCAGUGGGGAACUUUGGACAAUGGGCGCAAGCCUGAUCCAGCAAUGCCGCGUGUGGGAAGAAGGCCUUCGGGUUGUAAACCGCUUUUGGCAGGAACGAAACGGUGUCCGCUAAUACCGGGCGCUAAUGACGGUACCUGCAGAAUAAGCACCGGCUAACUACGUG